rnacentral:tRNA from 1 species
UCCCUGGUGGCUCAGAUGGUAAAGAAUCUGCCUGUAAUGCAGGAGACCCAGGUUCAAUCCCUGAGUUGGGAA